AAGUCGUAACAAGGUCUCCGUUGGUGAACCAGCGGAGGGAUCAUUACUGAGUUCUUUACUCAUAACCCUUUGUGAACUAUUAUACCUAGUUGCUUCGGCGGCGCGCUUCUUCGGAGGCGUGCCCGCCGGUACAAUCAGUAUCUCUGUUUGAACCCGACGUUACAUCUGAGUGUUCUAAGCGAACUGUUAAAACUUUCAACAACGGAUCUCUUGGCUCUA
rnacentral:misc_RNA from 1 species